AGAGUUUGAUCCUGGCUCAGGAUGAACGCUAGCUACAGGCUUAACACAUGCAAGUCGAGGGGCAGCAUGAUUGAAGCUUGCUUCAAUCGAUGGCGACCGGCGCACGGGUGAGUAACACGUAUCCAACCUGCCGAUAACUCGGGGAUAGCCUUUCGAAAGAAAGAUUAAUACCCGAUAGCAUAGUAUUUCCGCAUGGUUUCACUAUUAAAGAAUUUCGGUUAUCGAUGGGGAUGCGUUCCAUUAGAUAGUUGGCGGGGUAACGGCCCACCAAGUCAACGAUGGAUAGGGGUUCUGAGAGGAAGGUCCCCCACAUUGGAACUGAGACACGGUCCAAACUCCUACGGGAGGCAGCAGUGAGGAAUAUUGGUCAAUGGACGAGAGUCUGAACCAGCCAAGUAGCGUGAAGGAUGACUGCCCUAUGGGUUGUAAACUUCUUUUAUACGGGAAUAAAGUGGAGUAUGCAUACUCCUUUGUAUGUACCGUAUGAAUAAGGAUCGGCUAACUCCGUGCCAGCAGCCGCGGUAAUACGGAGGAUCCGAGCGUUAUCCGGAUUUAUUGGGUUUAAAGGGAGCGUAGGCGGGUGCUUAAGUCAGUUGUGAAAGUUUGCGGCUCAACCGUAAAAUUGCAGUUGAUACUGGGCGCCUUGAGUGCAGCAUAGGUAGGCGGAAUUCGUGGUGUAGCGGUGAAAUGCUUAGAUAUCACGAAGAACUCCGAUUGCGAAGGCAGCUUACUGGACUGUAACUGACGCUGAUGCUCGAAAGUGUGGGUAUCAAACAGGAUUAGAUACCCUGGUAGUCCACACAGUAAACGAUGA
rnacentral:rRNA from 1 species